CCACUGAUGUUCAUCCAAACCACUGCCCAUAUUCAAAAUCUUGGCUCCAGAUUCAAAAUUCAAACAGAUCAUUUCAAAUUUCAAAAUUCAUACAUAAUAUUUGCUUCUCUCUCUCUCAAAUAAAUUCAGCUGCUUCUUUAUAAUUUCUCAAAGCUUCAAAAUUCAAAAACCCAUUUCAAUCUCUCUCUCUCUCUCUCUCUCUACGAUCUCUCCAUUCUUCACUUUCAGAAGACGAAGAAGAAGAUGCAGCAUGAUUUAUAAAUUCAUCAGGAGAAGCUGAACCAUGUUGUUUGCUCACCAGGUGUUUGAUGAAAUGUCUGACAAGGUUAGCUUAGAAAAGGGAGUUUUGUGAUUUAAGAGUUAAUUUUUAUGACUUGCCUGCUUAAGAAAAGAUUCAUAUACGAUGAAUGGUUGAUGCCACAUACUGCAGCCAAACUGAAAUUCCCAUAUUAUUGGGAUGAAGAAUGGUAUCAGUCAACUGUAAAAGAUGAGCUUUGACUUCAUAACAUUACAAGAUAGUGAAAUGGAAAGAAGAGUUUGGCUAUUAAUCAAAUGUAUUAAGGUUUGAUUCAACAUGCAGUUUAACAAAAAUAUUAAGGAAUGAAAGUGCUUUUAGGUUCAGUUGGUUCUUCAUACUUUACUUGUUUGAAACAGGUGUGUUGGCCAAGUACGGAAGCUGGCGGCUGGUGGUGGUUUGAUGAAGUGAUUAACUGUGCAUAAAGGGCAUGACAUGGCAGCUGACGAUGAUUCAAACGACAAUGAUGAUGAUAAUUUGUCGAUGGAUGAUGCUACACAUGUUGCUAACAAGAAGGGUCACAGUAGUAAAUGGUCUUCACGAACAGAAGGGUUAGUGAAGAUAAUUGAGGCGUUGAUAAAAAAGCAAGAUGAGCAGUUUUCGGUUUUGGUGGGAAUAGUUGGUAUAGAUGUGGCGAGAGAUAAGGUGGCAGCUGAUAAAAGAAUGAAAUUGAACGGAGAGUUGAAAAAGAAACCAAAUCUUAGUCUACAAGCAUGACUUCGAGCGACAUCUGUUAUUGUUGGUGACUCUGCUAAACUUGAUCUUUUUAUAGUCUUUCUAAUGUACUGUUUAUUAUUUACUGCUUAUGCAUUUGAUACAUAUGUAAUAAGGAUGAAAGUAAAGUAGUGAAUUUAGUAACUA